rnacentral:lncRNA from 1 species
AAAAAAAGUUUGAAACUAGUUGUUGAAUUCGCAACGAAAAAUACAGAUUUACUCACACAUACAGUGGGAAAAUGCAGUAGACUGUUUGUAGCAUUUAUUUCAACACGAUUAAAUUCGCAGCAUAGCUGAUGUGGUCGUGCAUUUACAUAGUUAUGUGCCUAACCCACCCUGUCAACUUUCCCUGUGGGAGGAAACACGGAGUGCCCGGAGAAAACCCACGACUUUCGGCAGAGCGUUGACUUACUCUUUUCACAUUAGGACUGGGUUCCAGUCACAAUGAGAAGUCCUCAUCGAGAUUCGAACCUGCGGCCUUAGAGGUGAAAGGCAAGUGCGCUAACCACUUCGCCACCG